UACAAUGUAAGUUCUGAGGGUGAUAAUC
rnacentral:piRNA from 1 species